GCUCGGUCCCGAACCGCGGCUCGCGCACUGCACAUGCGCACUGGGAGCCGUGCACGCGGCCGGAGGAAGCGCCCUACUUAGUGCCCUACUUAGUGCCCUACUUAGUGCCCUAGAUGCGCAGGAGGCGGUGAUUUGGAGCUCAGGAUCAGUUUCUGAAGCUCACUGCAGGAGACGGAGUGCUACAGAGUGAUGUGUGAGUGUGUGAGAGUGUGUGAGAAUGUGUGUGUGAGAGUGUGUGUGUGUGAGAGAGAGUGUGUGUGUGUGUGUGUG